CCUACGGGUGGCAGCAGUGAGGAAUAUUGGUCAAUGGUCGCGAGACUGAACCAGCCAAGUAGCGUGCAGGAUGACUGCCCUACGGGUUGUAAACUUCUUUUAUAAGGGAAUAAAGUGCGUCACGUGUGAUUUUUUGUAUGUACUUCAUGAAUAAGGACCGGCUAAUUCCGUGCCAGCAGCCGCGGUAAUACGGAGGAUCCGGGCGUUAUCCGGAUUUAUUGGGUUUAAAGGGAGCGUAGAUGGCUUGUUAAGCGAGUUGUGAAAUGUUGCGGCUCAACCGUGAAAUUGCGAUGGAUACUGGCAGCCUUGAGUACAGUGGAGGUAGGCGGAAUUCGUGGUGUAGCGGUGAAAUGCUUAGAUAUCACGAAGAACUCCGAUUGCGAAGGCAGCUUACGAAACUGCCACUGACAUUGAUGCUCGAAGGUGUGGGUAUCAAACAGGAUUAGAUACCCUAGUAGUC
rnacentral:rRNA from 1 species